rnacentral:rRNA from 1 species
GACGAACGCUGGCGGCGUGCCUAACACAUGCAAGUCGAACGGAAAGGCCCCUUUGGGUGUCCUCCAGUUGCGAACGGGGGAGUAACACGUCAGUAACCUGCCCUUGACUUCGAGAUAUCUUCAGGAAACUGUGGCUAAUACUGGGUACGAAUCCUUUCUGCAUGGUGGGUGUUGGAGAGUUGCGGCGGGUUUGUAUGGACUUGCGGCUUUUCAGCUUGGUGGUGGCGUAGUGGCUUACCGAGGCUUUGACGCGUAGCCGGACUGGGAGGGCGACCGGCCACAUUGGCACUGAGAUACGGCCCAGGCUCCGACGGGAGGGAGAAGUGGGGAAGAUUGAUCAAUGAGCGGAGGCCUGAUGCAGAAACGCCGCGGGCGGGAUGACGGUGUUGGGGUUGUAGACCGAAUUCAGCAGGAGCGAAGCUUGUGGUGACGGUACCUGCAGAAUAAGCACCGGCUAACUACGUG